rnacentral:rRNA from 1 species
GACGAACGCUGGCGGCGUGCUUAACACAUGCAAGUCGAACGGAAAGGCCCUGCUUUUGUGGGGUGCUCGAGUGGCGAACGGGUGAGUAACACGUGAGUAACCUGCCCUUGACUUUGGGAUAACUUCAGGAAACUGGGGCUAAUACCGGAUAGGAGCUCCUGCUGCAUGGUGGGGGUUGGAAAGUUUCGGCGGUUGGGGAUGGACUCGCGGCUUAUCAGCUUGUUGGUGGGGUAGUGGCUUACCAAGGCUUUGACGGGUAGCCGGCCUGAGAGGGUGACCGGCCACAUGGGGACUGAGAUACGGCCCAGAUUCCUACGGGAGGCAGCAGUGGGGAAUAUUGCACAAUGGGCGGAAGCCUGAUGCAGCAACGCCGCGUGCGGGAUGACGGCCUUCGGGUUGUAAACCGCUUUCGCCUGUGACGAAGCGUGAGUGACGGUAAUGGGUAAAGAAGCACCGGCUAACUACGU